GCUGCCUUUCCUGGCCGGUGCAGACCCAGCCGGGCCCAUCCUAUCCGGAGCAGCAUGCAGCUGAAGCCAGCUUCCCAGGUGCUGCUGGGGACAGAGCGAGCCCGACUGGGUCGGCACUGGCUAGCAGAAGCGGUGGCAAAGCCUCCUCCUUUUGGGACCAGCUGGCAUAGAGUGCUGCCGAAUGCUGGAGAGCGUGGGUAGAAGUGGGGCCAGGAAGAAGAGUGGUCUGACCUGCCCCAGAUGUUCCCUCCACCAGUUCCUAUGAUAAGAGUAGAUUGUUCAGAAUAUUAGGGAAGGAAGACAAAGAGUCGAAGACAAAGACAGGACCAGUGGAUGAAAUGUUCUAUGACAGCACAAUACUUGAAGCACCCGAUACUUCACAGAUUGAUGCUCUGAUGCAUGCCACAGCCAGUGGAAAAUUUCAUGACAAGUUGGGACAGGACUUCAGUUACUGCAAUGCAGUCCCUUAUCAUUUGGGCCAAAGGAUAGUUUCUCAUUAACUAUUAGCAAGACAGUGCUUCUGAACUUCAGCACAACUGAUCCCAUCCAGAGGGAAAACAUUAGCCAGUUCAUUACAACAUUAAGCAUCUUUUAAGACUUUUGUGCAGUUAGAACUCCCAUUGAGUUCACUGAAUUUUUCGUGUGUAAGGAAUGUAAAACGAAGCUGUAUGCAGCCUGAAUGAAAGGAAGGUAAAGGGUGCAAACACAGCCACAGCUAAUUUGUUUUUAAAAAUCUGAAAAGAACAGAGUAUUUUGCAGCCUCCCUCCAGUUUUACUGCUAACUAAUCUAAGGAACCAACCAACAUUUUGUAUGCACAUCAUUCAAAGACUUCUGCAAAGGAAUAUUUGACAGGGAUCAUUUCAGAGAGAGGUGCUGGAUAUAUCUUGAAUUUUCAAAUCAACGUACAAAAAUCCACCCUCUGAUCCUGUUUCCUGCUGCUGUGUCAUAAUAUUGCCCUCCAAGAAAGUCUCAUCUGCCCAUCCAAUUAGUGAAAGAGUAUUACCUAUGUUUCCAAUGAGACAAUAGACAAUUAAGUUGCCAUUUCACUUGGCUAUAAUAAGAUUCUUGUUUUCUAUCCUAAACCUUUUUGUGGGGUUGCAGUUUACUGCUAGCACAAUACUGCUAGCUGUAUUUUAUUCUCCCCCCACAAAGAUGUAUACACUUCAGUGGUGGAUUAAAUGAUUUAUAAAUGCUUCUAGGUUUAUAAGCAUAAGAUCAUUAUCAUUAUUAAUGAAGUUUAGUUACCUCACUGCAGCAAAACAGCCUGAGAAGUUCCUAGAUUUGCUUUUCUGUGUGAAGACCAGAGAUAAAAAUUUAGAGAAGAUCAAACAAAUGAAAAAUACAUCAAGACAAACCAUAAAUGAUGUCAACUUUUCAGCAAAUUACACACUUUGCAUUUGGUGUCAGCAAUAUUUUUUGAUCCUAGAGGAUUUUAUAAUGCAUCAUCCCUGAAUUGUACUUCUUGUUAGGCUGCAAUUUUAUCUUAGAAGGGUUAUAUUGACUCAAAUUUUGCUAUUAUAGUUAAUAAUGGCAGCAAAUUACUUUUUUUUUUUUUUAAAUGGCCUUGUACUAUAGACUGCAUAUUGUUUAGCUUCCAGAGUCAUCCGUCAAGGACCGUUCAUAACAACCUCUGAUAAAUCCUAUUAUU